rnacentral:piRNA from 2 species
UCAAUCCUACAUUGUUGGCAAAGGUCUGU